rnacentral:rRNA from 1 species
AGUGAACGCUGGCGGUAGGCCUAACACAUGCAAGUCGAACGGCAGCACAGUAAGAGCUUGCUCUUACGGGUGGCGAGUGGCGGACGGGUGAGGAAUACAUCGGAAUCUACUUUUUCGUGGGGGAUAACGUAGGGAAACUUACGCUAAUACCGCAUACGACCUACGGGUGAAAGCAGGGGAUCUUCGGACCUUGCGCGAUUGAAUGAGCCGAUGUCGGAUUAGCUAGUUGGCGGGGUAAAGGCCCACCAAGGCGACGAUCCGUAGCUGGUCUGAGAGGAUGAUCAGCCACACUGGAACUGAGACACGGUCCAGACUCCUACGGGAGGCAGCAGUGGGGAAUAUUGGACAAUGGGCGAAAGCCGGAUCCAGCCAUACCGCGUGGGUGAAGAAGGCCUUCGGGUUGUAAAGCCCUUUUGUUGGGAAAGAAAAGCAGCAGGUUAAUACCCCGCUGUUCUGACGGUACCCAAAGAAUAAGCACCGGCUAACUUCGUG